rnacentral:rRNA from 1 species
UGAACGCUGGCGGCGGCCUAACAAUGCUAGUCGAACGGUAACAUUUCUAGCUUGCUAGAAGAUGACGAGUGGCGGACGGGUGAGUAAUGCUUGGGAACUUGCCUUUGCGAGGGGGAUAACAGUUGGAAACGACUGCUAAUACCGCAUAAUGUCUUCGGACCAAACGGGGCUUAGGCUCCGGCGCAAAGAGAGGCCCAAGUGAGAUUAGCUAGUUGGUAAGGUAACGGCUUACCAAGGCGACGAUCUCUAGCUGUUCUGAGAGGAAGAUCAGCCACACUGGGACUGAGACACGGCCCAGACUCCUACGGGAGGCAGCAGUGGGGAAUAUUGCACAAUGGGGGAAACCCUGAUGCAGCCAUGCCGCGUGUGUGAAGAAGGCCUUCGGGUUGUAAAGCACUUUCAGUUGUGAGGAAAAGUUAGUAGUUAAUACCUGCUAGCCGUGACGUUAACAACAGAAGAAGCACCGGCUAACUCCGUGCCAGCAGCCGCGGUAAUACGGAGGGUGCGAGCGUUAAUCGGAAUCACUGGGCGUAAAGCGCACGCAGGCGGUUUGUUAAGCUAGAUGUGAAAGCCCCGGGCUCAACCUGGGAUGGUCAUUUAGAACUGGCAGACUAAAGUCU